UACGGAGGGAGCUAGCGUUGUUCGGAAUUACUGGGCGUAAAGAGCUCGUAGGCGGUUUGUCACGUCUGCUGUGAAAACUCGGGGCUUAACUCCGGGCCUGCAGUGGGUACGGGCAGACUAGAGUGCGGUAGGGGAGACUGGAAUUCCUGGUGUAGCGGUGAAAUGCGCAGAUAUCAGGAGGAACACCGGUGGCGAAGGCGGGUCUCUGGGCCUUACCUGACGCUGAGGCGCGAAAGCUAGGGGAGCGAACAGG
rnacentral:rRNA from 1 species